rnacentral:ncRNA from 1 species
CUGGUAAAGUCAGGUUCCUGUAGGAUAAUGAUCCAACGAGAAAUAUAUGGGGUGAGCAGAAAUGCGUAGGGAAACCAAAUCUGAAAAGGGUGUUAAUCUCAUAUGUCCUGAAAAGUGACGAUCUAUUUUUAAAUAAGACCCCCGUAAGGAGAGGGGUUUAUCUUUGUUUUUAUAAAGAUAAAGGAGUCUGAACCCGUGAAUGUGCAAAAUUCUGGGAUAAGUUAAGAAUAGAAGUGAAACACUAAUCGGGUCUCUAUAUAACAGGUUUUUUGCGAAACAAUUAAUUAGAUUGACCUUUUACGUUUAAAAAUUAAAUCUUACAGAUUAUUUAAGAAUUUAAACUGAAGAUAAAAAAGUAAAAGAGUUGGAGGUCCCGGGAAAGGCUGGGAGUCCUCAAAAGGAUAACAGUCCAGAAUUAAGGUUAAAGUUCUAAAGUAAUAACUUAUUAGGUUUAAGGAAAAAAUGGGGGUGUAAUUUCACAUAUUAAAAAGAAGAGUGGAGGACAGGGUUUCUGAGACAUAUUCUUAAAAAAUGAUUCAACACAUACUUAUGCAGUACUGAGGUUAGAUUUUAUCUAACCCAUUCUCUUAAAUUUCUUCUAAAUUUUAGGAAUAAAGUUAUACACUGAAACCUCUUAGUUAUUAUUUAAAAUAUAUAACUGGUAGCAAAACACCUUACUUCAUUUUUAGUAAGGGGGAUGAUGUUGGA